rnacentral:tRNA from 1 species
GGGCGGUUAGCUCAGUUGGUCAGAGCGCCUGCCUUACAAGCAGGAGGUCACUGGUUCGAGCCCAGUACCGCCCACCA